rnacentral:rRNA from 1 species
AGAGUUUGAUCAUGGCUCAGAACGUACGCUGGCGGCACGCCUAACACAUGCAAGUCGAACGAAGUAGCAAUACUUAGUGGCAGACGGGUGAGUAACAUGUAGGUAUCUGCCCUUUGGCCUGGAAUAACACGAGGAAACUUGUGCUAAUACCGGAUAAGUCUUUACGGAGAAAGCUUUAUGCACCAUUGGAUGAGCCUGCACUUGAUUAGUUUGUUGGUGGGGUAAUGGCCUACCAAGACUGUGAUCAAUAGCUGAUUUGAGAGGAUGAUCAGCCACAUUGGGACUGAGACACGGCCCAAACUCCUACGGGAGGCAGCAGUGGGGAAUCUUGCACAAUGGAGGAAACUCUGAUGCAGCGAUGCCGCGUGAGUGAAGAAGGCCUUUGGGUUGUAAAGCUCUUUCGUCGGGGAAGAAAAUGACUGUACCCGAAUAAGAAGGUCCGGCUAACUUCGUGCCAGCAGCCGCGGUAAUACGAAGGGACCUAGCGUAGUUCGGAAUUACUGGGCUUAAAGAGUUCGUAGGUGGUUGAAAAAGUUAGUGGUGAAAUCCCAGAGCUUAACUCUGGAACUGCCAUUAAAACUUUUCAGCUAGAGUAUGAUAGAGGAAAGCAGAAUUUCUAGUGUAGAGGUGAAAUUCGUAGAUAUUAGAAAGAAUACCAAUUGCGAAGGCAGCUUUCUGGAUCAUUACUGACACUGAGGAACGAAAGCAUGGGUAGCGAAGAGGAUUAGAUACCCUCGUAGUCCAUGCCGUAAACGAUGUGUGUUAGACGUUGGAAAUUUAUUUUCAGUGUCGCAGGGAAACCGAUAAACACACCGCCUGGGGAGUACGACCGCAAGGUUAAAACUCAAAUGAAUUGACGGGGACCCGCACAAGUAGUGGAGCAUGUGGUUUAAUUCGAAGAUACGCGCAGAACCUUACCAACACUUGACAUGUUCGUCGCGACUCUA